rnacentral:rRNA from 1 species
GACGAACGCUGGCGGCGUGCUUAACACAUGCAAGUCGAACGGAAAGGCGCUGCUUUUGUGGGUUUCUCGAUUGGCGAACGGGUGUGUAUCACGUGAGUAACCUGCCCUUGACUUUGUGAUAACUUCUGGGAACUGGGGCUAAUACCCGAUAGGAGCUACUGCAGCGUGUUGGGCGUUGGAAAGAUUCGGCGGUUGGGUAUCGACUCGCUGGUUAUCAGCUUGUUGGUGGGGUAGUGGUUUACGAAGGCUUUGACGGGUAGCCGGCCUGAGAGGGUUACCGGCCACAAUGGGACUGAGAGAGGGAGCAGAAGGCUACGGGCGGCAGCAGUGGGGAAUCUUGCACAAUGGGCGGAAGUCUGAUGCGGCAACGCCGCGUGCGGGAUGACCGGCUACGGGUUGUAAACAGAUUUCGACUGUGACGAAGAGUGCGUGACGGUAAUGGGUAAAGAAGCCACGGCUAACUACGUG